AUUGAACGCUGGCGGCAGGCUUAACACAUGCAAGUCGAGCGGGGUGAUGGUGCUUGCACUAUCACUUAGCGGCGGACGGGUGAGUAAUGCUUAGGAAUCUGCCUAUUAGUGGGGGACAACACCUCGAAAGGGAUGCUAAUACCGCAUACGUCCUACGGGAGAAAGCAGGGGAUCACUUGUGACCUUGCGCUAAUAGAUGAGCCUAAGCCGGCUUAGCUAGUUGGUGGGGUAAAGGCCAACCAAGGCGGCGGGCUGUAGCGGGUCUGAGAGGAUGAGCCGCCACACUGGGACUGAGACACGGCCCAGACUCCUACGGGGGGCAGCAAUGGGGAAUAUUGGACAAUGGGGGGAACCCUGACCCAGCCAUGCCGCGUGUGUGAAGAAGGCCUUAUGGUUGUAAAGCUCUUUAAGCGAGGAGGAGGCUCUUUUGGUUAAUACCCAAGAUGAGUGGACGUUACUCGCAGAAUAAGCACCGGCUAACUCUGUGCCAGCCGCCGCAGUAA
rnacentral:rRNA from 1 species